UACGGUAGGGGGCAAGCGUUGUCCGGAUUUAUUGGGCGUAAAGAGCUCGUAGGCGGCUUGUCGCGUCGUCCGUGAAAACCAGGGGCUCAACCCCUGGCUUGCGGUCGAUACGGGCAGGCUAGAGUUCGGUAGGGGAGACUGGAAUUCCUGGUGUAGCGGUGAAAUGCGCAGAUAUCAGGAGGAACACCGGUGGCGAAGGCGGGUCUCUGGGCCGAUACUGACGCUGAGGAGCGAAAGCGUGGGGAGCGAACAGG
rnacentral:rRNA from 1 species